rnacentral:rRNA from 1 species
UUAAGCGACUAAGCGUACACGGUGGAUGCCCUGGCAGUCAGAGGCGAUGAAGGACGUGCUAAUCUGCGAUAAGCGUCGGUAAGGUGAUAUGAACCGUUAUAACCGGCGAUUUCCGAAUGGGGAAACCCAGUGUGUUUCGACACACUAUCAUUAACUGAAUCCAUAGGUUAAUGAGGCGAACCGGGGGAACUGAAACAUCUAAGUACCCCGAGGAAAAGAAAUCAACCGAGAUUCCCCCAGUAGCGGCGAGCGAACGGGGAGGAGCCCAGAGCCUGAAUCAGUGUGUGUGUUAGUGGAAGCGUCUGGAAAGGCGCGCGAUACAGGGUGACAGCCCCGUACACAAAAAUGCACAUGCUGUGAGCUCGAUGAGUAGGGCGGGACACGUGGUAUCCUGUCUGAAUAUGGGGGGACCAUCCUCCAAGGCUAAAUACUCCUGACUGACCGAUAGUGAACCAGUACCGUGAGGGAAAGGCGAAAAGAACCCCGGCGAGGGGAGUGAAAAAGAACCUGAAACCGUGUACGUACAAGCAGUGGGAGCACAGAGCAAUCUGUGUGACUGCGUACCUUUUGUAUAAUGGGUCAGCGACUUAUAUUCUGUAGCAAGGUUAACCGAAUAGGGGAGCCGAAGGGAAACCGAGUCUUAACUGGGCGUUAAGUUGCAGGGUAUAGACCCGAAACCCGGUGAUCUAGCCAUGGGCAGGUUGAAGGUUGGGUAACACUAACUGGAGGACCGAACCGACUAAUGUUGAAAAAUUAGCGGAUGACUUGUGGCUGGGGGUGAAAGGCCAAUCAAACCGGGAGAUAGCUGGUUCUCCCCGAAAGCUAUUUAGGUAGCGCCUCGUGAAUUCAUCUCCGGGGGUAGAGCACUGUUUCGGCAAGGGGGUCAUCCCGACUUACCAACCCGAUGCAAACUGCGAAUACCGGAGAAUGUUAUCACGGGAGACACACGGCGGGUGCUAACGUCCGUCGUGAAGAGGGAAACAACCCAGACCGCCAGCUAAGGUCCCAAAGUCAUGGUUAAGUGGGAAACGAUGUGGGAAGGCCCAGACAGCCAGGAUGUUGGCUUAGAAGCAGCCAUCAUUUAAAGAAAGCGUAAUAGCUCACUGGUCGAGUCGGCCUGCGCGGAAGAUGUAACGGGGCUAAACCAUGCACCGAAGCUGCGGCAGCGACGCUNAUGCUGGAGGUAUCAGAAGUGCGAAUGCUGACAUAAGUAACGAUAAAGCGGGUGAAAAGCCCGCUCGCCGGAAGACCAAGGGUUCCUGUCCAACGUUAAUCGGGGCAGGGUGAGUCGACCCCUAAGGCGAGGCCGAAAGGCGUAGUCGAUGGGAAACAGGUUAAUAUUCCUGUACUUGGUGUUACUGCGAAGGGGGGACGGAGAAGGCUAUGUUGGCCGGGCGACGGUUGUCCCGGUUUAAGCGUGUAGGCUGGUUUUCCAGGCAAAUCCGGAAAAUCAAGGCUGAGGCGUGAUGACGAGGCACUACGGUGCUGAAGCAACAAAUGCCCUGCUUCCAGGAAAAGCCUCUAAGCAUCAGGUAACAUCAAAUCGUACCCCAAACCGACACAGGUGGUCAGGUAGAGAAUACCAAGGCGCUUGAGAGAACUCGGGUGAAGGAACUAGGCAAAAUGGUGCCGUAACUUCGGGAGAAGGCACGCUGAUAUGUAGGUGAAGUCCCUCGCGGAUGGAGCUGAAAUCAGUCGAAGAUACCAGCUGGCUGCAACUGUUUAUUAAAAACACAGCACUGUGCAAACACGAAAGUGGACGUAUACGGUGUGACGCCUGCCCGGUGCCGGAAGGUUAAUUGAUGGGGUUAGCGCAAGCGAAGCUCUUGAUCGAAGCCCCGGUAAACGGCGGCCGUAACUAUAACGGUCCUAAGGUAGCGAAAUUCCUUGUCGGGUAAGUUCCGACCUGCACGAAUGGCGUAAUGAUGGCCAGGCUGUCUCCACCCGAGACUCAGUGAAAUUGAACUCGCUGUGAAGAUGCAGUGUACCCGCGGCAAGACGGAAAGACCCCGUGAACCUUUACUAUAGCUUGACACUGAACAUUGAGCCUUGAUGUGUAGGAUAGGUGGGAGGCUUUGAAGUGUGGACGCCAGUCUGCAUGGAGCCGACCUUGAAAUACCACCCUUUAAUGUUUGAUGUUCUAACGUUGACCCGUAAUCCGGGUUGCGGACAGUGUCUGGUGGGUAGUUUGACUGGGGCGGUCUCCUCCUAAAGAGUAACGGAGGAGCACGAAGGUUGGCUAAUCCUGGUCGGACAUCAGGAGGUUAGUGCAAUGGCAUAAGCCAGCUUGACUGCGAGCGUGACGGCGCGAGCAGGUGCGAAAGCAGGUCAUAGUGAUCCGGUGGUUCUGAAUGGAAGGGCCAUCGCUCAACGGAUAAAAGGUACUCCGGGGAUAACAGGCUGAUACCGCCCAAGAGUUCAUAUCGACGGCGGUGUUUGGCACCUCGAUGUCGGCUCAUCACAUCCUGGGGCUGAAGUAGGUCCCAAGGGUAUGGCUGUUCGCCAUUUAAAGUGGUACGCGAGCUGGGUUUAGAACGUCGUGAGACAGUUCGGUCCCUAUCUGCCGUGGGCGCUGGAGAACUGAGGGGGGCUGCUCCUAGUACGAGAGGACCGGAGUGGACGCAUCACUGGUGUUCGGGUUGUCAUGCCAAUGGCACUGCCCGGUAGCUAAAUGCGGAAGAGAUAAGUGCUGAAAGCAUCUAAGCACGAAACUUGCCCCGAGAUGAGUUCUCCCUGACUCCUUGAGAGUCCUGAAGGAACGUUGAAGACGACGACGUUGAUAGGCCGGGUGUGUAAGCGCAGCGAUGCGUUGAGCUAACCGGUACUAAUGAACCGUGAGGCUUAACCUU